GACGAACGCUGGCGGCGUGCUUAACACAUGCAAGUCGAACGGAAAGGCCCUGCUUUUGUGGUGUGCUCGAGUGGCGAACGGGUGAGUAACACGUGAGUAACCUGCCCUUGACUUUGGGAUAACUUCAGGAAACUGGGGCUAAUACCGGAUAGGAGCUCCUGCUGCAUGGUGGGGGUGGGAACGUUUCGGCGGUUGGGGAUGGACUCGCGGCUUAUCAGCUUGUUGGUGGGGUAGUGGCUUACCAAGCAUUUGACGGGUAGCCGGCCGGGGAGGGUGACCGGCCACAUGACGCCUGCGAGACGGCGCAGACUCCAAUGGUAGGCAGCAGGGGCGAGUAUUGCACAGUGGGCGGGAGCGUGAUGCAGAAGCGCCGCGUGCGGAAUGACGGCCUUCGGGUUGUAAACCGCUUUCGCCUGUGACGACGCGUGAGUGACGGUAAUGGGUGAAGAAGCACCGGCUAACUACGUG
rnacentral:rRNA from 1 species